CGAAUCAUGAGUUUAGAAAAUAUCUUAGUUGUCUGUGGUUCUUCUUAUCACUUGGGAUGUAAUGCCGCCUCUGACCACAAUUACAAAUUGGCGCUGUUUGUUUAUCAAGUGGUUGAUUCUACAGGAAAGGAAGCAGAAGUGCACAUGUUUCAGUAAAGCUAGUUUACUGUAAACAUUUGCCAAAAUAUGACAUGCAUGCCUCAUCUGGCCUUCAUAUCAGUGAGUUAAUUUGUUCCUGACCUCGUGGAUGGAUGAUGAUCCCCCAUCCUAACUAUGGAACUAGGGAACAAGACCCUGUGCAUUGUCUGCAAGGAAUCUGGUGGAAGGGACAUAACUGCUGUCACAGCUCCUAAGCUGCUUCACCAAGUAAAACUGUUUGAGGAAUCCG